rnacentral:miRNA from 1 species
UCACAAGUUCAUCCAAGCACCA